rnacentral:misc_RNA from 1 species
UCUCUACUUGCGUAGGCAGUCUCACUAGAGUCCCCAACUUAAUGAUGGCAACUAGUGACAGGGGUUGCGCUCGUCGCAGGACUUAACCUAACACCUCACGGCACGAGCUGACGACAACCAUGCAGCACCUUGAAAAUUGCCCGAAGGAAGGUCUAUUUCUAAACCGAUCAAUUCCCAUUUAAGCCUUGGUAAGGUUCCUCGCGUAUCAUCGAAUUAAACCACAUAAUCCACCGCUUGUGCGGGCCCCCGUCAAUUCCUUUGAGUUUCAAUCUUGCGAUCGUACUUCCCAGGUGGAUUACUUAAUGCUUUCGCUCAGACACCAACAGUGUAUCACAAAUGUCGAGUAUCCAUCGUUUAGGGCGUGGACUAC